rnacentral:rRNA from 1 species
CAGUCGAACGAUGAAGCUUCUAGCUUGCUAGAAGUGGAUUAGUGGCGCACGGGUGAGUAAGGUAUAGUUAAUCUGCCCUACACAAGAGGACAACAGUUGGAAACGACUGCUAAUACUCUAUACUCCUGCUUAACACAAGUUGAGUAGGGAAAGUUUUUCGGUGUAGGAUGAGACUAUAUAGUAUCAGCUAGUUGGUAAGGUAAUGGCUUACCAAGGCUAUGACGCUUAACUGGUCUGAGAGGAUGAUCAGUCACACUGGAACUGAGACACGGUCCAGACUCCUACGGGAGGCAGCAGUAGGGAAUAUUGCGCAAUGGGGGAAACCCUGACGCAGCAACGCCGCGUGGAGGAUGACACUUUUCGGAGCGUAAACUCCUUUUCUUAGGGAAGAAUUCUGACGGUACCUAAGGAAUAAGUACCGGCUAACUCCGUGCCAGCAGCCGCGGUAAUACGGAGGGUGCAAGCGUUACUCGGAAUCACUGGGCGUAAAGGGCGCGUAGGCGGAUUAUCAAGUCUCUUGUGAAAUCUAAUGGCUUAACCAUUAAACUGCUUGGGAAACUGAUAGUCUAGAGUGAGGGAGAGGCAGAUGGAAUUGGUGGUGUAGGGGUAAAAUCCGUAGAUAUCACCAAGAAUACCCAUUGCGAAGGCGAUCUGCUGGAACUCAACUGACGCUAAGGCGCGAAAGCGUGGGGAGCAAACAGGAUUAGAUACCCUGGUAGUCCACGCCCUAAACGAUGUACACUAGUUGUUGGGGUGCUAGUCAUCUCAGUAAUGCAGCUAACGCAUUAAGUGUACCGCCUGGGGAGUACGGUCGCAAGAUUAAAACUCAAAGGAAUAGACGGGGACCCGCACAAGCGGUGGAGCAUGUGGUUUAAUUCGAAGAUACGCGAAGAACCUUACCUGGGCUUGAUAUCCUAAGAACCUUAUAGAGAUAUGAGGGUGCUAGCUUGCUAGAACUUAGAGACAGGUGCUGCACGGCUGUCGUCAGCUCGUGUCGUGAGAUGUUGGGUUAAGUCCCGCAACGAGCGCAACCCACGUAUUUAGUUGCUAACGGUUCGGCCGAGCACUCUAAAUAGACUGCCUUCGUAAGGAGGAGGAAGGUGUGGACGACGUCAAGUCAUCAUGGCCCUUAUGCCCAGGGCGACACACGUGCUACAAUGGCAUAUACAAUGAGACGCAAUACCGCGAGGUGGAGCAAAUCUAUAAAAUAUGUCCCAGUUCGGAUUGUUCUCUGCAACUCGAGAGCAUGAAGCCGGAAUCGCUAGUAAUCGUAGAUCAGCCAUGCUACGGUGAAUACGUUCCCGGGUCUUGUACUCACCGCCCGUCACACCAUGGGAGUUGAUUUCACUCGAAGCCGGAAUACUAAAC